rnacentral:rRNA from 1 species
ACACGCAUGACACACUGCAUAUCAAUAAGCGGAGGAAAAGAAACUAACAAGGAUUCCCUUAGUAACGGCGAGUGAAGCGGGAAGAGCUCAAAUUUGAAAUCUUCAAGGUUCUACCUUGACGAAUUGUAGUUUAUAGAAGUGUUUUCUGUUAGUAGAGUGGCAAAAGUUCUUUGGAAUAGGACAUCAUAGAGGGUGAGAAUCCCGUAUUUGACCGUUACUUUCCAGCUGUGUGAUACACUUUCAAAGAGUCGGAUUGUUUGGGAAUGCAGUCCAAGAUGGGUGGUAAAUUUCAUCUAAAGCUAAAUAUUGGCGAGAGACCGAUAGCGAACAAGUACCGUGAGGGAAAGAUGAAAAGAACUUUGAAAAGAGAGUUAAACAGUACGUGAAAUUGUCAAAAAGGAAGCGUUUGACACCAGUGUUGUUUAGUUGAAAAUCAAUUAAAUAGUUUUUCGAUUUAAGUAGUAUUGACCUUAUCAGCUUGCUGCUUUCUUCUCAGAAAUUAUUGAAUGCACUUUUCAGUUAACAAGUCAACAUCAGUUUCUUUUGUUGUAAAAGGGUAAGAGGAAGGUGGCAUGCGCUUCGGCUCAAGUGUUUAUAGCCUUUUAUCCUCUGCAAUCGGAGAGAUUGAGGUCUGCAGCGUAGAUCCUUCGGGGUUAGAUACAUUGGUGCUAAGCUAUAGCCUUGUAUAGACAACUUGUUGACUAUGCUCAGUCAUGUAGCUUACUCGCUGAUGCUAUUUUACCUACGCUUAGGAUGUUGAGCGCAUGUCUCUCUCU